GCGAGUGAAGAGGAAAGAGCUCAAAGUUGGAACCUGUUUGGCUUAGCUAAACCGGAUUGUAAACUGUAGAAGUGUUUUCCAGACACGCCUGGUAAAAAAGUCCUUUGGAACAGGGCAUCAUAGAGGGUGAGAAUCCCGUCUUUGGCCAGAGCUGUUGUCUUUUGUGAUACACUUUCAAAGAGUCAGGUUGUUUGGGAAUGCAGCCUAAAUUGGGUGGUAAAUCUCACCUAAAGCUAAAUAUUUGCGAGAGACCGAUAGCGAACAAGUACCGUGAGGGAAAGAUGAAAAGAACUUUGAAAAGAGAGUUAAACAGUAUGUGAAAUUGUUAAAAGGGAACCGUUUGGAGCCAGACUGGCUUUUCUGUAAUCAAUCUAGGCUUUGGCCUGGAUGCACUUGCAGUUUAUGCCUGCCAACGACAGUUAUUUUUGAGGGAAAAAACCUUGUGGAAUGUGGCCCUUCGGGGUGUUAUAGCUACUUGGAAAAUACCUUGAAAGUGACUGAGGAUCGCAGUGAAUGCCUUUAGGCAAGAUUGCUGGGUGCUUUCGCUGAUAUAUGCUAGAAUUUCUGCCUUGGGUGGUGCUAGUGUCUAAAGGAGAAACCCGCUUAGUAUA
rnacentral:rRNA from 1 species